CUCCUGACCUCAGGUGAUCCGCUCACAUUGGCCUCCCAAGUCCUGGGAUUACAGGCAUGAACCAUCGCGCCUGGCCAGUUCUCAGAAUUCUGACACUGGGGCCGGAGACUAGAAGAAACGUCCAGCGCAGGGCGAGUGCCAGGAGGCCCUGAUACGGGCUGCAUCCUUGGAAAUCAGUGCAGCUCCUCCCCUGACAGACAGAUCACGGAGGCUGGCCGGCCUUGAGGAUGGGGUCUGGGCUGGCCCCCGGGCCAGUGGUGGCUUGUGCGCAAGCGCGAGGCGGGCUGCACGCGAAUGCGGGACCCUGGUCUCCCAGUGUUGACCUGCAGGGGUAGCACCAGUCCACGCCCGGCCUUCUGCAUGAAAGGAGCUGUCAACUCCACCUGGGACAACAGGCCUGGAUCCAUGCUGUCCGGGGUCGACUGGGAUGUGGGGUCACCCUGCUGGCCAGAGCCCUCACCAGGAUCUGGCUAGAGAGCAGAGGGAAGGGGGCAGUUAAACCAUCCUUGGAGCUGGACCUGGCUUCCAGGUGGGUUUCUGUGACUGGCGAUCAAGAAUCUUGGUGUGAUGCAUGCAGGUACACGCAGUUGACACCCAGAGUGACCUGCAGUCUUCUGCAAUGUUGCUGGAUAUAGGAAUCAGCUUUCAAGAUGCAGAGUGUCGUUCAUGAUUCUGCAGUGGGAACCGGGCCUUAGAACAUUCAGCUCCGGUCUGUCAGGUGAAGAUGCGUGGACUCCUGGGCUGUGGACGUGGAGCCUAUGCCAGCUGAGGCCAUCGGUGCAUUCUGUCUGUGACCACAGGGGCUGGCUGGUGAUGGCCACGUGCCUCCAACCAAGACAGCUGGGCCAGGGAAACACCGUUCUGACCUGGGCCACCUCCUGGGGAAGUGGAGCAGCUCUUGUGCUGCUGGGGCUACUGCCACGCUGAGCCUGGGAUUCGGGUUCCCAAGGAGGAAGCAAAGUUGGCCUGUGUCUUGGUGUCAGCAUUUGAGGGUCAAAUCACACCAAGCCUGACACAGGCACCCCUGGGCAUUUUGGCUUUUGGGAGCCAUUACAUUCCCCUUUUGUGUUAGCCAGUUUUGGUUGGGUUUUCUGUCAUUUGUAACCAAGAGAGUCCUCGGCGAUACGCGUUACCACCAACAAUACUCCAUGUGGCCAAAUCAGCUUUUUCAGUCAGUUUUUAUUGAAAUGGUUAUAUUAGCAAAUUCUGCACAUACAGGUGUACACUGUUGGCAUGUAGGUAUAUACCAUACAACUUCACUACUUGAUUAUACUUACACCAACCAUGCAGACCGAGGAGCUGCGCUGCCCAGAACGUUUCAAAGGGCUGAUGAGAUCUGAUUGUCAAGAACCUCAAGAACCAGCUCACACUCUACUUGUAGGUGUUUGCGUUCCAGACAAGAAAACUCCCCGUACAGGGAGGCCCAAAACUGAGCUAAUCACCAGUGUUGCUUCUUGAAUAUUGACUGUUCUUUCUGGCACAAGCUAUCCAAUGAAUUAAAUUAAAAUUUUAAUUAA